AAGUCAUAUGCUUGUCUUAAAGAUUAAGCCAUGCAUGUCUAAGUAUAAAUAGUAUACAGUGAAACUGCGAAUGGCUCAUUAAAACAGUUAUAGUUUAUUUGAUAGUGCAAAUUACAUGGAUAACCGUGGUAAUUCUAGAGCUAAUACAUGCGCAAAUACCGGACGCAAGAAUGGUAGCAUUUAUUAGAUUUAACCAUCACAUGGUGAAUCAUAGUAACUUAGCUGACCGCGCGCAAGCGUGGUAAAUCAUUCAAGUUUCUGCCCUAUCAGCUUUCGAUGGUAGUGUAUUGGACUACCAUGGCAGUCACGGGUAACGGAGAAUUAGGGUUCGAUUCCGGAGAGGGAGCCUGAGAAACGGCUACCACAUCUAAGGAAGGCAGCAGGCGCGUAAAUUACCCAAUCCCGAUUCGGGGAGGUAGUGACAAGAAAUAGCAACUCGGGCGGUUAUCCGUUACGGGAUUGCAAUGAGAUAAGUCCAAAUCCGUAAACGAUUAACAAUUGGAGGGCAAGUCUGGUGCCAGCAGCCGCGGUAAUUCCAGCUCCAAUAGCGUAUACUUAAGUUGUUGCAGUUAAAAAGCUCGUAGUUGAAAUUCGAAUUAGCUGAUAGAGGGCUUAGGCUAUCUAGCAGUUGGUUCUCCGUCUACAAUCCCUCUUGGGCUUCAGGGUUGCAGAGGGCUGAGUAGACAAUUUACCUUGAAAAAAUUAGAGUGUUCCAGGCAGGUUUUCGCCGGAAUACAUUAGCAUGGAAUAAUGGAAUAGGACUUAGGUCUUUUGUUGGUUUUAGGAUCUGAGUAAUGAUUAAUAGGGACAGAUGGGGGCAUUAGUAUUUAAUUGUCAGAGGUGAAAUUCUUGGAUUUAUUAAAGACUAACUUAUGCGAAAGCAUUUGCCAAGGAUGUUUUCAUUAAUCAAGAACGAAAGUUAGGGGAUCAAAGACGAUCAGAUACCGUCGUAGUCUUAACUAUAAACUAUACCGACUCGGGAUCGGAAGGGUAAUAUUUAAGGCCCUUUCGGCACCGUAAGAGAAAUCAAAGUCUUUGGGUUCUGGGGGGAGUAUGGUCGCAAGGCUGAAACUUAAAGGAAUUGACGGAAGGGCACCACCAGGAGUGGAGCCUGCGGCUUAAUUUGACUCAACACGGGGAAACUUACCAGGUCAAAACAUGGAUGGGA
rnacentral:rRNA from 1 species